GAAGCAAGUCAACCCCAGGUCAAGAAGAGUCUAUACAGACUCUGCCAGGUGAAGGAAGGACAGGAACUUCUGUCCAACCUUGUUCCACCUGAACCUCUCUUCCUGAAAGGCCUCCAAGUGCUGUCCACCAAGGACUCAAGCAGCAUAUAGUAGAAGGGGGCUGGGAGGUCAAAGGAUCCUCCAUGUGGUACCUCUGGGGCUGCUUCACCCCUCAAGUCAUAUCUCCUGGCUGUCUUUAAAAGAGUACCACCUUUCUUGGGAGCUGUUAGUCAGCUCCUGGGACUACCGUCACCUACCAGACUAACAGGAGCCUCAGGGGGAGAGGGCAUAGCUUUGCAGAAGUCUUGCUCUACUCGGGUUGGAUAGUCCUUAUCAGAAUUCUCAGAGAUGCCAGGAGAAGUAAUGUCCAGAGCCCAAGAGUUCGAGGUAGUGGCACCCCAGCAGGCGUAGGAGAGGGAACAGCUAGCCCCCUGCAAACACCUGGGUCAGGUCUAAGGGGAAUUUUCCUUUUUUUUUUUUUUCUUUUCUUUUCAGUGUUGAGGAUGAAACCCAGAUUUCUUGCACACGCCAGGCAAACACUGACCUACACCCUAGCACUCUAAAGAGAACUUUCAAGGAAAAGGUUGAGCUACAAAGAUUGUGUUUUAAAAUGAAAGAAGGAGCAUCAGGCAAAGCCUGUGCCCCCUGCACUCCUGUGGAGGUUUCUAAAUCGUCAGAGUUAGAACCCCAUACCCCCCGCAGCUGGAGAAGCAGGAGGAGAGAGCCAUGGGGGUUGUCUGUCUGGGGCAGCUGGUCCUGCCCAUUCGUAGGCAAGGGGAUGGCCCCCACACCUUUCCCGGUGGUCCCUCCAGUCCCCAGCCACCACCCCAUACUUACCCAGUACACCAGCAUCGACUUGGAGCAGCGAUCACUUUCGAUUCUGCCCCUGGGGCGACUCAGACCUCUGACGACAGAGCACGGAAAUUACCUCACUGCCCCCCCUGCCCCGCCCCCGCCCCGCCCUCAAGUGAUAGCCUCCCUCCCAGACCUGGCGGAGCUCCCUGGACCUGCUGGAUAUCUGUAGCCUCUUGUGUUGGCGAGGGUGAG
rnacentral:lncRNA from 1 species